rnacentral:rRNA from 1 species
UACGGAGGGAGCUAGCGUUGUUCGGAAUUACUGGGCGUAAAGCGCACGUAGGCGGCUUUGUAAGUUAGAGGUGAAAGCCCGGGGCUCAACCCCGGAAUUGCCUUUAAGACUGCAUCGCUUGAAUCCGGGAGAGGUGAGUGGAAUUCCGAGUGUAGAGGUGAAAUUCGUAGAUAUUCGGCGGAGCACCAGUGGCGAAGGCGACUCACUGGCCCGAUACUGACGCUGAGGCGCGAAAGCGUGGGGAGCAAACAGG